rnacentral:rRNA from 1 species
AACGAACGCUGGCGGCAGGCUUAACACAUGCAAGUCGAACGCCCCGCAAGGGGAGUGGCAGACGGGUGAGUAACGCGUGGGAACAUACCCUUUCCUGCGGAAUAGCUCUGGGAAACUGGAAUUAAUACCGCAUACGCCCUACGGGGAAAGAUUUAUCGGGGAAGGAUUGGCCCGCGUUGGAUUAGCUAGUUGGUGGGGUAAAGGCCUACCAAGGCGACGAUCCAUAGCUGGUCUGAGAGGAUGAUCAGCCACAUUGGGACUGAGACACGGCCCAAACUCCUACGGGAGGCAGCAGUGGGGAAUAUUGGACAAUGGGCGCAAGCCUGAUCCAGCCAUGCCGCGUGAGUGAUGAAGGCCUUAGGGUUGUAAAGCUCUUUCACCGAUGAAGAUAAUGACGGUAGUCGGAGAAGAAGCCCCGGCUAACUUCGUGCCAGCCGCCGCUGUAAGAC